rnacentral:rRNA from 1 species
AUACGGAGGGUGCAAGCGUUAAUCGGAAUUACUGGGCGUAAAGGGCGCGUAGGCGGUCUAUCAAGUCAGGUGUGAAAUCCCACGGCUCAACCGUGGAGGUGCAUCUGAAACUGAUAGACUCGAGUAUGGGAGAGGAAAGUGGAAUUCCCGGUGUAGAGGUGAAAUUCGUAGAUAUCGGGAGGAACACCAGUGGCGAAGGCGACUUUCUGGACCAAUACUGACGCUGAGGCGCGAAAGCGUGGGGAGCAAACAGGAUUAGAAACCCUAGUAGUCC